AUUUUUUAGAGUUGUGAUGAAUCAUAAUUCAGUUGUUGAACAGAUGAAAUUGUAGAGAAGGAAGAUAGAGAAAAUUUAGAAAAAUAAAUUAAAAUUUCGUGCCAACACUGACAUGUCGCAUGUUAUUGUAUGUAAAGAUUAAAUUUUUGUUAUGAGAAUUACAGUUCUUAUGAAAAAAAGAUUCACUAAAAGUCUACUACUACUACUCUGGUAAAUCACAUCAGCUUUAUCAGAAUUUAGAAAAAUGAAUUAAGCAACAACUUUUGAACAGUCAUUGUUUGUAAAGUUGACAGUUAAAGAGAAGUUGGAACUUUACAUAAUAAAGGCAUUGGAAGGCUUUACUUGACUUUCAUUUUAUGGUAUCUGCUGUGUUGUAACAGAUUUUAAAAAGAACUUAACUGAUGUUAACGUAGUCUUUUUUGUUGUUAACU